CCUACGGGGGGCAGCAGUGGUGAAUAUUGGACAAUGGGGGCAACCCUGAUCCAGCCAUGCCGCGUGUGUGAAGAAGGCCCUCGGGUUGUAAAGCACUUUCAGUGAGGAAGAACGCCUGGUGGUUAAUACCCAUCAGGAAAGACAUCACUCACAGAAGAAGCACCGGCUAACUCCGUGCCAGCAGCCGCGGUAAUACAGGAGGGUGCGAGCGUUAAUCGGAAUUACUGGGCGUAAAGCGCGCGUAGGUGGCUUGAUAAGCCGGUUGUGAAAGCCCCGGGCUCAACCUGGGAACGGCAUCCGGAACUGUCAAGCUAGAGUGCAGGAGAGGAAGGUAGAAUUCCCGGUGUAGCGGUGAAAUGCGUAGAGAUCGGGAGGAAUACCAGUGGCGAAGGCGGCCUUCUGGACUGACACUGACACUGAGGUGCGAAAGCGUGGGUAGCAAACAGGAUUAGAUACCCUGGUAGUC
rnacentral:rRNA from 1 species